rnacentral:rRNA from 1 species
GACGAACGCUGGCGGCGCGCUUAACACAUGCAAGUCGAACGGAAAGGCCUGCUUUCCCUUGUGGAUUGCGGGUACUCGAGUGGCGAACGGGUGAGUAACACGUGAGUGAUCUGCCCCCAACUUGGGUAUAAGCCUGGGAAACUGGGUCUAAUUCCCGAUAGGACUGCAGGGUGGUGCCUGUGGUGGAAAACGAUUUUCUAGUGGUUGGGGAUGAGCUCGCGGCCUAUCAGCUUGUUGGUGGGGUAAUGGCCUACCAAGGCGGCGACGGGUAGCCGGCCUGAGAGGGUGGACGGCCACAUUGGGACUGAGAUACGGCCCAGACUCCUACGGGAGGCAGCAGUGGGGAAUAUUGCACAAUGGGCGGAAGCCUGAUGCAGCGACGCGGCGUGGGGGAUGACGGCCUUCGGGUUGUAAACUCCUUUCGACCGCGAGGAAGCCACCUGGUUGGAAGGGUGGUGACGGUAGUGGUAGAAGAAGCACCGGCUAACUACGU